GGGAGCCAUGUGAUAAGUGCAAAGCGAACUAUCUUUCGCCUUUUACUAAAGAAUACUGUGUACGUGUCACAAGCGGUGGCAUACGAGUAAUUUUUGAAUGAGUUCUCUUGUUAGAGAACUCUG
rnacentral:snRNA from 1 species